GCUUGCCACUUUACGUGGUCUGGUUGGAUGUUUUUUUCCUGAAAUGGCACAGAGAGUCAAGCUCUGAGGGCUUUUCAAAGCCAGUGAAGAUGAUUUACCACUCCUACACCAUUGGUUUGACUCUUUGGGGGAAAUGGAAUAUGAUGAAACACAAAGAAACAUCUUUUCCCAGAGGUGCUCUUGAGGGAACAUAUUCCACGUUUACCAGCCAGUGAGUUAAAAGAUCCAACCACUCUCCUCCUCCUCCUCUUCCUCAUCAUCAUCGAGCACCUAUUUUGGGCCCAGAGCUUCCACCUCAGCCCACUGACGCACUUUGCCGUUGCCAUCUAACAUGCCCAGGAGAGAGAAGAUUCUGGGAGAAGGAAAGAGGAAGCUAGGCCAUUUACUCACCUUCCACCAUCAAGAAAAUGUUCCCGCUGCAGGAAGGAGAAUCGAGCUCUUUGUACUUCCUAAAGCAUUAGAAGAAUUGAAAUCUCCCAUCUCCAGAAAGCAGGAUCCAUGAUCACCUCCAUAUUUCCUCUCUUCCUGCUGAUGCUUUGUGCCUGUAUCCAGAGCAGAAGAAAUUGCUACCUCACGUCAGCAGGCUUAGC